GCCCCUCAAAGUAAUAGUUUCCUUGUAUUUUAUGAUGGUAAGAAGAAAACUGCUUUCAAAAAAGUGCCUGCUCCUUGCAAAACUGAUACAGAUAAACAGAAAAAAAUGGCAGCAGUACUGCUUAAAAUUGCCUAAGCGGAAAGCAAAAAGGGAAGUAAUCAUAAAGACAGCAAACCUGGGUGCCUCCUGGGAUUCAAGAGCAGGACCCGAACAAAGUCUCUGGAAGGACUGAGUUGGUGAUUCAUCAGGAAGCAGGUGCCUUUGGAACAUCCAUGUGUCAACAUAAAGUUUGCUGUUGUAAAUGUUUGUCUGAAACUCAUGAAAGAGGUUCCCAGGUUGCUGUCAGUGGGGGAAGAGAACACACACUGACUCCAAGCUCCUGUGGCCACAUCUUGUACUAGGUCCUUCAUUUUAUC